rnacentral:rRNA from 1 species
UACGAAGGGGGCUAGCGUUGCUCGGAAUCACUGGGCGUAAAGGGUGCGUAGGCGGGUUUUUAAGUCAGGGGUGAAAUCCUGGAGCUCAACUCCAGAACUGCCUUUGAUACUGAAGAUCUCGAGUCCGGGAGAGGUGAGUGGAACUGCGAGUGUAGAGGUGAAAUUCGUAGAUAUUCGCAAGAACACCAGUGGCGAAGGCGGCUCACUGGCUCGGUACUGACGCUGAGGUGCGAAAGCGUGGGGAGCAAACAGG